rnacentral:tRNA from 2 species
GGGGAUAUAGCUCAAUGGGAGAGCGUCCGCCUUGCACGCGGAAGGUUGCGGGUUCAACUCCCGCUAUCUCCA